AUUGAACGCUGGCGGCAGGCUUAACACAUGCAAGUCGAGCGGAGCGAGGGUGCUUGCACCUUAGCUUAGCGGCGGACGGGUGUGUAAUGCUUAGGAAUCUGCCUAUUAGUGGGGGACAACAUUCCGAAAGGAAUGCAAAUACCGCAUACGCCCUACGGGGGAAGGCAGGGGAUCUUCGGACCUUGCGCUACUAGAUGAGCCUAAGUGGGAUUAGCUAGUUGGUGGGGUAAAGGCCUACCAAGGCGACGAUCUGUAGCGGGUCUGAGAGGAUGAUCCGCCACACUGGGACUGAGACACGGCCCAGACUCCUACGGGAGGCAGCAGUGGGGAAUAUUGGACAAUGGGCGGAAGCCUGAUCCAGCCAUGCCGCGUGUGUGAAGAAGGCCUUUUGGUUGUAAAGCACUUUAAGCGAGGAGGAGGCUACUUAGAUUAAUACUCUGGGAUAGUGGACGUUACUCGCAGAAUAAGCACCGGCUAACUCUGUGCCAGCCGCCGCCGUAA
rnacentral:rRNA from 1 species